rnacentral:lncRNA from 1 species
ACACUGAAAUAGAGAUAUACGCACAGAUACACAGACACGUUACAAGGUGACCCUGUCCAGCAUUCACUCAAUACAAUGGCCAAGGUCUUGCUGAGUUCAUUCAAGGCAAGGACAAACCACAACUGAGGACAACCUUCCAAAGAGGUUCCUCUCUGUGCCUACAGGGCUGAACUCAUGCUGGACAAAGUAAUCUGAGUUUUAGCUUCCCAGUUCCCUGGAACCCUUCUGUUUCUUUUUCUCUGUUACAAAUGUAUUAUGAUCAUUUGGCUCAUUAAUUUUUAGCUUUUCACCAAAUCAUAGUUUGGAAAAUGCAAGAGGAAGAAACGUGGUCAUGGAUACCUUCAGAUGUUUAUCAGGCCAUCUGUUAAAGAGCAUCCAAAGCACACAUUUCACAUCGGAGCCUCCGUAGUCCUGCCUAACCAUAUGUUUGUCUUUUUGACAUUACAAUCAGAAGACAAAAUAAACAGAGAUGAGAUGCCACAGCGAAUUUCCAGCCUGAUUAACAGAGGAUUAACCCCGUUAUCACUCUGAUUUGCUAACUUUACACAGCAGGUGGGGUGAGAAAACCAUGGAGCAACCCUCCUUCCUUGGGGUUAUGGGGCAGAGAGAACUCAGAUUGUGCAUGAGAGCAGCAGCCAGCCCAGGGAAGGGCAGGGACCACUUCAGAUGACAGGGUGGACACAGCACCCAAAGUGACAGGCAACAGAGGAAGCUUUGUAAGCAAAAAAAGGGAGGGAAAUAAACAGGGGAAAGAGGUUUGUAGCAUGUAGAAAAAGGCCAGCAUCUUUUCUGCUCAUCAAAGCCUGGGCUCCAUGUCUUGGGGAGGUGAGCUCCUGUCCCUCCAAGCAGGUCAGCACAGAGCUUUCCUGGCACUAGACGGAUGCAGACGAGCUCAUGGUGGAAAACAAAGCAGAAUCAAUAGAGAAAGGACAUAACUUGUCUCUCAGAUCGGCUGUCCCAUUUUACAAGACCAAAUCUAAAGCCACACAAGUAAUUCCAGGUGAUCCCAAGCCUCCACCACACUAACCCCAUCACCUCCUCACUUCCUCCCACCAUGGGCAGCAGCUCCCUGAGUGCUGUCUGGGCAGAAAUCAGCAUGGCUACAGCAGCACCGGAGUCAGAGAGCAGCAUCACUGACAGUGCACGGGCAAGACCCUGAUGGCUGUGGGGCAUUUGGGAUGUGCCCUGACCUUGCAAAGCAAUGCUUGUCUUGCACAGCACGUUCCAUGAGCUGUGCUAGCAUCCCUUCUCUAACUUAAAAUAGAUGAAGACGCAAGAGUGAAAAAGCUGUUUCUAUUCUGUUUGCUGUGAGGAAUUUGUGGUGCAUCAGUUAUGGAAAGAGGGAUAUAGGAAAUCAGCCACUCCCUACACGUAACUACAACAGGAGGAAGAUCCAGCUAUCUCCAGAUCAGAGAUUGUAUGUUUUCUUACAUCGAUGGAAAGUGGCAAAUCCUUUACCAGCUGAAGUGUGGUGCUGGGGUCUGCUACGAGAGACAGCUCAUCCCGAGAAGUCUCCCAAGUGGAACAGUCAUCAGUGACAGAC